UGCCAGCAGCCGCGGUAACCCCGGCGCCACAAGUGGCAGUCGUAUUUAUUGGGUCUAAAGCGUUCGUAGUCGGUUUGAUAAAUCUUUCGUGAAAUCGUGGAGCUCAACUCCACGGCGUGCUGAAGACACUGUCAGGCUAGGGACCGGGAGGAGUUAGGGGUAUACCUGAGGGAGUGGUAAAAUGUGAUAAUCUCAGGCAGACCACCUGUGGCGAAGGCGCCUAACUAGAACGGAUCCGACGAUGAGGGACGAAGGCCAGGGGAGCGAACCGGAUUAGAUC
rnacentral:rRNA from 1 species